CAGUAGCCACGGGAAUACGGAGGGGGCUAGCGUUGUUCGGAAUUACUGGGCGUAAAGCGCACGUAGGCGGCUUGGUAAGUUAGAGGUGAAAGCCCGGAGCUCAACUCCAGAAUUGCCUUUAAGACUGCAUCGCUUGAACGUCGGAGAGGUGAGUGGAAUUCCGAGUGUAGAGGUGAAGUUCGUAGAUAUUCGGAAGAACACCAGUGGCGAAGGCGGCUCACUGGACGACUGUUGACGCUGAGGUACGAAAGCGUGGGGAGCAAACAGGAUUAGAUACCCCAGUAGUCCCUGUCUCUUAUAC
rnacentral:rRNA from 1 species